UGCCACUAUUCAUCAUGCAGCAACAACAAAGCCUUUGUCAGUGGCGAAAGCAGGACAAAAAUUUAAGUGGGACCAAACAAAAUCGCAAAGCAACUAGACAAGACUGUGAAACUGAUCUCUGGUGGACGUGGAUGCACUAAACAUGGAAAUGGCUCACUAUGAGUGGCAUUUUACCAUGAAAUAGUGAAAAGGAUAAUGAGAAAGAAAGCACUCAUGUCGAAGUGUUUGAGCAGACUAGUUGUGGAGAAAGCACUUACAAAUCAAAAUGGUGCCCUGCAAAAGCUCAUGGAGGCAGAUAAGGAGAAAAACAAUGCUUUAGUGAACGCACACCCUCGGGAGCAGUAAAACGAAGCAUGAACAAGCUCCUCAUCACUGUCACGACCAAUGGUUCCAGAUUCGACGUCUACUCUAAAUAUUGGGACUACAAAAGGAAUGCUUUUCUGGAGGCUGACUUGCAAUGUUCUAAUAAAGUUCAAAACAUGGAAUCAAAGG